GACGAACGCUGGCGGCGUGCUUAACACAUGCAAGUCGAACGGAAAGGCCCUGCUUUUGUGGGGUGCUCGAGUGGCGAACGGGUGAGUAACACGUGAGUAACCUGCCCUUGACUUUGGGAUAACUUCAGGAAACUGGGGCUAAUACCGGAUAGGAGCUCCUGCUGCAUGGUGGGGGUUGGAAAGUUUCGGCGGUUGGGGAUGGACUCGCGGCUUAUCAGCUUGUUGGUGGGGUAGUGGCUUACCAAGGCUUUGACGGGUAGCCGGCCUGAGAGGGUGACCGGCCACAGUGGGACUGAGAGACGGACCAGACUCCUACGGGAGGCAGCAGUGGGGAAUAUGGCCAAAUGGGCGGAAGCCUGAUGCAGCAACGCCGCGUGCGGGAUGACGGCCUUCGGGUUGUAGACCGAGUUCGCCUGUGACGAAGCGUGAGUGAAGGUAAUGGGUAAAGAAGCACCGGCUAACUACGUG
rnacentral:rRNA from 1 species